rnacentral:rRNA from 1 species
GACGGAGGGGGCAAGCGUUGUCCGGACUCACUGGGCGUAAAGGGCGCGUAGGCGGCUUUAUAAGUCGGGGGUGAAAGCCUGUGGCUCAACCACAGAAUUGCCUUCGAUACUGUAGAGCUUGAGACCGGAGGAGGUAAGUGGAACUGCGAGUGUAGAGGUGAAAUUCGUAGAUAUUCGCAAGAACACCAGUGGCGAAGGCGGCUUACUGGUCCGGUUCUGACGCUGAGGCGCGAAAGCGUGGGGAGCAAACAGG